ACAAUGACGAGCUCACUGGUUCUCCUGCUGGCCACCCUGGGGCUCCUGGUUCAGGGUUCAUCAGGACGAAUCACCCUGACCCAGUCUCCUGAAUCUCAGUCUGUUGCUCCAGGACAGACUGUCUCCAUCAGAUGUAAAACCAGUUCAGGUGUUAGUAACUGCCUCCACUGGUUCCUUCAGAAACCUGGAGAAGCUCCUGAACUCCUGAUUUAUGAAAUUACAAGCCGUCAGCUUGGAGUUGCAGGUCGUUUCAGGGGAAGUGGAUCUGGGACUGACUUCACUCUGACCAUCAGUGGAGUUCAGGCUGAAGAUUCAGGAGUUUACUACUGUCAGCAGAGUAACAGCCUCCCGUUCACACAGUGAUGCAACGUCGUACAAAAACUUCCCUCAGCUGGAGAGGAACUGAUCUGAAUCAACAGCUGCUCUCAAACGAAAACUAAACGUUUUACUAAAAAUAAAUAGUUCAUAAUAAUCUACUUUGAAUAUUUG